rnacentral:rRNA from 1 species
AGAUGGAGCUACACCUCAGUUUUACGGUAGCACAGAGAGCUUGCUCUCGGGUGAUUUAGUGGCUGGACGGGUGAGUAAUGUCUGGGAAACUGCCUGAUGGAGUGGGGAUAACUACUGGAAACGGUAGCUAAUACCGCAUAACGUCGCAAGACCAAAGAGGGGGACCUUCGGGCCCUUUUGCCAUCAAUGUGCCCAGAUGGGAUUAGCUAGUAGGCGGGGUAAUUUGCCCACCUAGGCGACGAUCCCUAGCUGGUCUGAGAGGAUGACCAGCCACACUGGAACUGAAGACACGGUCCAGACUCCUACGGGGAGCAACCAGUUGGGGGAAAUAUUUGCACAAAUGGGGCGGCAAAGCCUGGAUGGCAGCCAAUUGCCCGCGUGUGUUAAAAAAAGGCCUUCGGGGUUUGUAAAGCACUUUCAGCCGGGGAGAAAGGCGGGUACGGUUAAAUAACCUGUGCUGAUUUGACGUUACCCGCAGAAGAAGCACCUGUGCUAACUCCGUGCCAGCAGCCGCGUGUAAUACGGAGGGUGCAAGCGUUAGUCUAAUUACCUGUGCGUAUGAGACGCACGCAGGCUGGUCCUGAUCCACGGCUGUAUUUUGUAA